rnacentral:rRNA from 2 species
CUGGCUCAGGACGAACGCUGGCGGCGUGCCUAAUACAUGCAAGUCGAGCGGAUCGAUGGGAGCUUGCUCCCUGAGAUCAGCGGCGGACGGGUGAGUAACACGUGGGUAACCUGCCUGUAAGACUGGGAUAACUCCGGGAAACCGGGGCUAAUACCGGAUAAUUCAGUUCCUCGCAUGAGGAACUGUUGAAAGGUGGCUUUUCGCUACCACUUACAGAUGGACCCGCGGCGCAUUAGCUAGUUGGUGAGGUAACGGCUCACCAAGGCAACGAUGCGUAGCCGACCUGAGAGGGUGAUCGGCCACACUGGGACUGAGACACGGCCCAGACUCCUACGGGAGGCAGCAGUAGGGAAUCUUCCGCAAUGGACGAAAGUCUGACGGAGCAACGCCGCGUGAGUGAAGAAGGUUUUCGGAUCGUAAAACUCUGUUGUUAGGGAAGAACAAGUGCCGUUCGAAUAGGGCGGCACCUUGACGGUACCUAACCAGAAAGCCACGGCUAACUACGUGCCAGCAGCCGCGGUAAUACGUAGGUGGCAAGCGUUGUCCGGAAUU